rnacentral:lncRNA from 10 species
GACUUCCUUUGUGUAAUAAACUUGCAUUCAUGGAGCCCCUCAGCCGUCCCGCCCAUGCACUGGGAAAAUUCAGAACCUCUAUUACCACCCACUGAUGCAACUAGCUGCAAGAGGGAAGGGAGAGGGAAAUGUUGUGAAGAGUUUGUCCUAUGGGCCAACAACCCUCGUAUCCACAGGAAUGGCAUGGCUGGGUGCUUGUCACCCCUAGGCUUUAUGGGUACCUCCAUGUUGUCAUUGUCUGGCUCAAGGAUCUACUGGCCCCAAUUCUGGUUGAGUUCUGACUGGGUUGGAACAAAGGCCGUGCUGAGACCUAUCUACUGCAGAUGCACCCACACGUUUUCCAAAACUUGGGACUGAAAUCGAACUCAACGAUUGCUUUAUUUUCCCACACACUAAAAUACCCCCGGUUCUGGAAUACGGAAGUGAGAAUGACAAAGGGGGUCCUUCUGUAGGACCCUCAGUCCUGGCAGUCUGGCUGACCAUUCUGGCAGAACAUGCUGUUCUGAACACCAUUUGUUCAAACUCUGAAACCAGUUGAUGCUCUGCCCAUCAUUCCAGACACUCUUGGCUGUAUCUUAGUACCCAGCAGGGCUGUCCUCGAAAUACUGCCCUGUGGCUCCUGGCGCCACCUCCUAUCCUGCCCUGCCAGCACCGCCACCUUUAGUUCCCAUGGCCUGCAGAGAGCCAUGGCUGGGCGCUGAUGACAGGCUGCACCUAACAUGGACCCUGCCUACUGUUCUGGAUCCUCAGUCUAGAGGGAAAAGAUGCUAAACAAGUCAACAUGACAAAGGCGGUGUCAAAGCAAAGGGGAGGCGCACCACGGGAGCGCACCAGGAAAACCAGGUCUGCAGCGGGGACUCCCCUCAAGUCCCCAGAGCCCCAGCCCAUCAUGUCCACAUCCUUCAGGACAUCAUCUCCUCCCAGCCAGCCGGGACCUCAGACUCAGAAAGCUGACAAUGCUGUGCGUCACCUCAGAGCUGACACAGCUCCUCCUCUGAAGAACUCGGUCUCCUCAACCUGUUAAAGGACAUCUAGAAAAGGCCACAGCUAAAGGGCUUUCACUCAAUGCUGAAACACAAAAUGCUUUCCCCAGAAGAUCAGGAACAAGACAAGGAUGUCUGUUCACACAGCUUCUGUUCAACAUUGUACUAAAGAGGCCAGCCAGGGCAAUGAGGCAAGGAAAUAAAGUAAAAGCCAUCCAUAUUGGAAAGGAAGAAGUACAAUUGUCUUCAUUUGCAGAUAACAUGAUCUUGUACGUUGAAAAUCCUAAGGAAUUCACUGAAAAUGAUUAAACUAAUAAAUGAGUUUAGCAAGUUUACAAGGAUAUGUGAUCAGUGUACAAAAAUCAGUUUAUUUCUAUACAGUAGUUAUGAGCAAAUAAAAAAUGAAGUUAAGAAAACAAUUCCAGUCUGGGUACAGUGGUUCAAGCCUGUAAUCUCAGCACUUUGGGAGGCCGAGGCAGGUGGACCACUUGAGGUCAGGAGUUCAAGACCAGCCUGGCCGAUAUGGUGAAACCUUGUCUCUACUAAAAAUACAAAAAAUUAGCUGGGUGUGGUCGUGGGCACCUGUAAUCCCAGCUACGCAGUAGACUGAGGCAGGGGAAUCACUUGAACCCGUUAGGCAGAGGUUGCAAUGAGCUGAGAUCACACCGCUGCACUCCAGCCUUGGUGACAGAGCAAAACUUUGUCUUAAAAAAAAACUCAUUUAUAUUAGCAUCAGAAAGAUACUUAUGAACAUAUUUAACAAAAGAAGUACAAAACUUAUGCUCUGAAAACUACAAAAUAUUGUUGAAAACUAAAGAAGAUCUAAAUGAGUGGAAAGACAUCCCAUGUUUAUAGAUUGAAAAACUUAACAUUAUUAAGAUAGCAAUACUCCCAGAUUCCAAAUUCAAUGCAAUCCCUAUCAAAAUUUCGACUUCAGCAAUGGACAAGUUGCUUUUAAAAUGCAUAUGAAAAUGCAAGAAAACACAAAUAGCUAAAGAAAUCUUGAAAAAGUUGGAUAAUUUAUGCUACCCAAUUUUAAAACCUGCUAUAAAAUGACAGUAAUCAAAACAGUGUGGUAUGGGCAUAAGGACAGAUCUAUACAUCAACAGAAUGGAACUGAGAGCCCAGAAAUUAACCCACAUAUCUAUGGCCAGUUGAUUUUGAGCAAGAGUGCCAACUUCUUUCAAUGGAAAAAGAAUAGUCCCCUCAGCAAAUGAUGUGGGGACACCUGAAUUUCCACAUGCAAAAGAAUGAAGUUGGAUCCAUAUUUCACACUGUAUAAAAAAACUAACUCAAAAUGGAUCAAUGACCUAUAAAGAAGAACUAAAAUCAUAAAAGUCACAGAAGAAAACAUAGUGAUAAAUCCUUAUGACCCUGGAUUUGGCACUGCAUUCUUAGAUUGACACCAAAAGCAUGAGCAACUAAAGAAAAAAACAGAUAAACCAGCCAUCAGAAUAAAAAACUUUGGGGCUUCAAAAGACACUAUCAAAACAGUGAAAAGACAACCCAAAGAAUGGGAAAAAAUUGUUUGCAAACUAUAAACAUAAUAAGUUGCUUGUAUCUAGAAUAUAUAAAGAACAAUUACAACUCAAGAAUAAAAAGACAAAUAGCCCAAUUCAAAAAUAAGCAAAGGAUCUGAAUAGAUAUUUCUUUAAAAAAGAUAUACAAAUGGCCAAUAAGCACAUAAAGAGGUCCUGAAUAUUAUUAGCCAUGGGAGAAAUACAAAUCAAAACCAUAAUGAGAUAUCACUUCAUGUCUGCUAGGGUAGCUUUAAUUAAAAAGUCAGAUGAGGCCGGGCACGGUGGCUCAUGC